rnacentral:rRNA from 1 species
UACGUAGGGUGCAAGCGUUGUCCGGAUUUAUUGGGUUUAAAGGGUGCGUAGGCGGCCUUGUAAGUCAGUGGUGAAAUACUCCAGCUUAACUGGAGGGGUGCCAUUGAUACUGCAGGGCUUGAGUUAAGUUGAAGUUGGCGGAAUUGACGGUGUAGCGGUGAAAUGCUUAGAUAUCGUCAAGAACACCGAUAGUGAAGACAGCUAACUAAACUUUUACUGACGCUGAGGCGCGAAAGUGUGGGGAUCAAACAGG